UGCAUCAAUUUAUCUUUAAAAAAAAAUACUUGGUUAAACUCGAUUCUUAAGCAUAAUCAAAUGUCUGAACACUAAAUACUAACUUAUUCGAGAACUUUAAAAAAUUAUUAUUAUUAUUAUUAUUCUUUCUCCUAACUUAAUCGAUAUUGUCCUCAAUGGAAUAGAAAAAAUAAAAUAUGAUAGAUAAAGAGGAAGAAAAGGAGAGAUG
rnacentral:lncRNA from 1 species